rnacentral:rRNA from 1 species
GUUUCAGCAGCCGCGGUAAUACAGAAGUCUCAAGCGUUGUUCGGAAUCACUGGGCGUAAAGGGUGCGUAGGCCGCACGGCAAGUCAGAUGUGAAAGCCCGGAGCUCAACUCCGGAAUGGCAUCCGAUACUGCCGUGCUCGAGGACUGAAGAGGAGUCUGGAAUUCACAGUGGAGCAGUGAAAUGCGUAGAUAUUGUGAGGAACACUAGUGGCGAAGGCGAGACUCUGGACAGUUCCUGACGCUGAGGCACGAAGGCCAGGGGAGCAAACGGGAUUAGAUACCCGGGUAGUCC